CCCCUCCCUUCCCCUGAGCCCUCUCUCUGCACUACUUAGUACCAAACGUCCCCGCCGCUGCCCGAUUCCAGAGCGCCUUAGCAAACGCGAUCGGUUCUCAGUUGCGCUGGCACCUUGCUUACGUGUUAUUUGUGCAUUCUCAUGUGUCCUUGUUUCUACCCCUCCUGAGAAGCACCGUCUUACACCCGCCUCAUCACUCAGAGAUGCCAGAAUUAAAAGACUCCACCCUAUGAAGGUUAUAUUGGAAGGGGAAAAAGUAUCGUGAUUAAGGACUAAGAUGGCAAGUAAUCCAAUAUAUGUUAAACACAUAUUUCCACAAUGAUCAUAGCAGCAAGAUUUUUUUAAAAGACUGGUAGCUCUCAUUCAGAAAUUGGAUUUCAACUUACAUCAAACAUCCUUGGAAAGAGAGAGUUUCCAGCGGUUGGUGGGAGCAUCCAACAACAUAAGAACAGGGUUGAUCACAG
rnacentral:lncRNA from 1 species